UACGUAGGGUCCGAGCGUUGUCCGGAAUUAUUGGGCGUAAAGGGCUCGUAGGCGGUUUGUCACGUCGGGAGUGAAAUCUUACAGCUUAACUGUGAACUUGCUUUCGAUACGGGCAGACUUGAGGCAUUCAGGGGAGAACGGAAUUCCGGGUGUAGCGGUGGAAUGCGUAGAGAUCCGGAAGAACACCGGUGGCGAAGGCGGCCUGCUGGGCAGUUUAGCUGACACUGAGGCGCGACAGCGUGGGGAGCAAACAGG
rnacentral:rRNA from 1 species